rnacentral:rRNA from 1 species
CGCCUAGAGUGGCGGAAGGGCGAGGAACGCGUGAGCGACCUGCCCUCGCGGCGGGGACAACCCGGGGAAACCCGGGCUAAUACCCGGUGACACGGCUUCGGGGCAUCCCGGGGCCGUCAAAGUCGGAGCAAUCCGGCCCGCGGGGAGGGGCUCGCGUACCAUCAGCUUGUUGGCGGGGUAACGGCCCACCAAGGCUUACGGUUAGCUGGUCUGAGAGGACGACCAGCCGCAUUGGGACUGAGACACUGCCCAAACUCCUACGGGAGGCUGCAGUCGAGGAUCAUUCGCAAUGGACGAAAGUCUGACGGUGCGACGCUGCGUGGAGGAUGAAGGCCUUCGGGUCGUAAACUCCUGUCAUGACGGAAGAGGCGGAGGGGCGGCAAUGCCCCCGAGUUGACGGUACGUCAAGAGGAAGCCACGGCUAACUCUGUGCCAGCAGCCGCGGUAAUACAGAGGUGGCGAGCGUUGUUCGGAUUUACUGGGCGUAAAGGGCGCGUAGGCGGCCCUGCAAGUCGCGUGUGAAAUCCCCGGGCCCAACCCGGGAAGUGCGCGCGAUACUGCCGGGCUCGAGUGCGGGAUGGGGAGACGGAAUGCAGGGUGUAGCGGUGAAAUGCGUUGAUAUCCUGCAGAACACCGGAAGCGAAGGCGGUCUCCUGGAACGCAACUGACGCUCAGGCGCGAAAGCCGGGGGAGCAAACAGGAUUAGAUACCCUGGUAGUCCCGGCCCUAAACGGUGCGCACUAGGGGUGGGGGGAUUUCUACCCCCCCCGUCCCCAAGCUAACGCGUUAAGUGCGCCGCCUGGGGAGUACGGCCGCAAGGCUAAAACUCAAAGAAAUUGACGGGGGCCCGCACAAGCAGAGGAGCAUGUGGCUUAAUUCGAUGCAACGCGAAGAACCUUACCCAGGCUUGACAUGCAGCUGCACGGCCUAUGAAAGUAGCUCUC